rnacentral:rRNA from 1 species
AACGAACGCUGGCGGCAUGCCUAACACAUGCAAGUCGAACGAGACCUUCGGGUCUAGUGGCGCACGGGUGCGUAACGCGUGGGAACCUGCCCUUAGGUUCGGAAUAACUCCCCGAAAGGGGUGCUAAUACCGGAUAAUGUCUUCGGACCAAAGAUUUAUCGCCUUUGGAUGGGCCCGCGUUGGAUUAGCUAGUUGGUAGGGUAAAAGCCUACCAAGGCGACGAUCCAUAGCUGGUCUGAGAGGAUGAUCAGCCACACUGGGACUGAGACACGGCCCAGACUCCUACGGGAGGCAGCAGUGGGGAAUAGUGGACAAUGGGCGAAAGCCUGAUCCAGCAAUGCCGCGUGAGUGAUGAAGGCCUUAGGGUGGUAAAGCUCUUUUACCCGGGAUGAUAAUGACAGUACCGGGAGAAUAAGCUCCGGCUAACUCCGU